CUACGGAGGGGGCUAGCGUUGUUCGGAAUUACUGGGCGUAAAGCGUACGUAGGCGGACUGAUCAGUUGGGGGUGAAAUCCCAGGGCUUAACCCUGGAACUGCCUUCAAUACUGUCAGUCUUGAGAUUGGAAGAGGUGAGUGGAAUUCCUAGUGUAGAGGUGAAAUUCAUAGACAUUAGGAGGAACACCAGUGGCGAAGGCGGCUCACUGGUCCAAUACUGACGCUGAGGUACGAAAGCGUGGGGAGCAAACAGGAUUAGAAACCCUAGUAGUCC
rnacentral:rRNA from 1 species